AUCGAACGCUGGCGGCAGGCUUAACACAUGCAAGUCGAGCGAGCGGCGGACGGGUGAGUAAUGUCUGGGAAACUGCCUGAUGGAGGGGGAUAACCACUGGAAACGGUAGCUCAUACCGCAUACCAUCAGAGGUGCCCAGAUGGGAUUAGCGAGUAGUGGGGGUAAUGGCUCAACUAGGCGACGAUCCCUAGCUGGUCUGAGAGGAGGAACAGCCACGCUGGAACGGAGACACGGUGCAGAAUCCUACGAGAGGCAUCAGUGGGGAAUAUUGCACAGGAGGCGCAAGCCUGAUGCAGCCAUGCCGCGUGUGUGAAGAAGGCCUUAGGGGUGUAAAGCACGUUCAGCGAGGAGGCGUUACUCGCAGAAGAAGCACCGGCUAACUCCGUGCCAGCAGCCGCGGUAAUUC
rnacentral:rRNA from 1 species